rnacentral:rRNA from 1 species
UGGAUCCAGACUUUGAUCAUGGCUCAGGAUGAACGCUAGCUACAGGCUUAACACAUGCAAGUCGAGGGGAAGCGACAUCGAAAGCUUGCUUUUGAUGGGCGUCGACCGGCGCACGGGUGAGUAACGCGUAUCCAACCUGCCCAUGUCUGGGGAAUAACCCGUCGAAAGGCGGACUAACUCCCCAUGGUCUCCGAUGAGGACAUCUGAAUUGGAGUAAAGCUUCGCGGACAUGGAUGGGGAUGCGUCUGAUUAGGUAGUAGGCGGGGUAACGGCCCACCUAGCCUACGAUCAGUAGGGGUUCUGAGAGGAAGGUCCCCCACAUUGGAACUGAGACACGGUCCAAACCCCUACGGGAGGCAGCAGUGAGGAAUAUUGGUCAAUGGACGAGAGUCUGAACCAGCCAAGUAGCGUGCAGGAUGACGGCCCUAUGGGUUGUAAACUGCUUUUGCGCGGGGAUAACACCCUCCACGUGCUGGAGGUCUGCAGGUACCGCGCGAUAAGGACCGGCUAAUUCCGUGCCAGCAGCCGCGGUAAUACGGAAGGUCCGGGCGUUAUCCGGAUUUAUUGGGUUUAAAGGGAGCGUAGGCCGUGAGGUAAGCGUGUUGUGAAAUGUAGGCGCCCAACGUCUGCACUGCAGCGCGAACUGCCCCACUUGAGUGCGCGCAACGCCGGCGGAACUCGUCGUGUAGCGGUGAAAUGCUUAGAUAUGACGAAGAACCCCGAUUGCGAAGGCAGCUGGCGGGAGCGUAACUGACGCUGAAGCUCGAAAGCGCGGGUAUCGAACAGGAUUAGAUACCCUGGUAGUCCGCGCGGUAAACGAUGGAUGCCCGCUGUGGCGCGCCUGGCGUGCCGCGGCUAAGCGAAAGCAUUAAGCAUCCCACCUGGGGAGUACGCCGGCAACGGUGCAAACUCAAAAU